GCCACCGUGGCGUAGCGGUUGGCGCCUCGGGCUGCGACUCUGGAGAUCCCGGUUCGAUUCCCAGCUUCGGCC